rnacentral:rRNA from 1 species
UACGUAGGUGGCAAGCGUUGUCCGGAUUUACUGGGCGUAAAGCGCACGUAGGCGGCUUUGUAAGUUAGAGGUGAAAGCCCAGGGCUUAACCCUGGAAUUGCCUUUAAGACUGCAUCGCUAGAAUUGUGGAGAGGUAAGUGGAAUUCCGAGUGUAGAGGUGAAAUUCGUAGAUAUUCGGAAGAACACCAGUGGCGAAGGCGACUUACUGGACACAUAUUGACGCUGAGGUGCGAAAGCGUGGGGAGCAAACAGG